CCUCUCGAUCCAGAGAAAAACCGGUACGACGCCCCCCCUCUCGAUCCAGAUGCGACCUCUCUCCCGCUCCGCCGCCGCCCCUACUGCUCCGCCGCCGCCCCCUCGAUCUGUUUCCUGUGGCCAGAUCCGGCCGGGGGAGCCACCGUAGAGCCUCCACGUCGUCGGAGCAGAGCAGCCCGAGGUGUGUGUCGAUCUCGUCCCGCAGAUCGCCGGCGGGGCCACGACCACCUCAUUCACUGUCGCGGUGGUGCUUCUCCCUGCGUCGCCAUCGUUGGUUCGCCUCACCCUCCUCACCCCGUCGGCUGCAACCGCUCCUACCCUCCAUGGUGCUCCUCUUCGGCAUCCACCGCAGGCCAGUGAGCGGCCACGAUCAGGGAGGCCUCUACCUCGACUGCAACCGGUCAUGGUCGUCUCUGCGCCGCCGCCCCCUCGCAUCGCACCGUUGCCUCGUGUAGGACUACGAGCAUGGGACGCUCGGUCGAGGUUUUCUUGUCUCGUCAGGAUUCUCGUGCUGCAAAUUUAGUAACGGGGCAAACUUUUGGGUGUCCUAAUUUGUUUGCGGAUUGAUGAGAAUUUGGCGAGGGAGAUCAUAAACCACCGCUCGCUGCGGCACAUCAAUUGUUGAAUUCGCUUGAAGGAGGUGUCUUUCCUCUCUGUUCCCUUGAGUCAAUCACCAUGAUUUAACAUCGAGAUGAUGUUUCUUCUUCAACAGGGAUGACGAACAACAUGGAACAAGGAGGAACUUUACAUCGAGACAAUGUUUCCUCUCUACCAUUCUCUUUCCUUUCCGAGCCGUUCACAAUCGUUAGAGAGGUGGACAUUGAUUGGGAGGGAGGGUAAGAGGCCUCAGAUCGUGGAUCCUCUUUGAUCCAGACCUCCUCGACGCCUUGCGCGCCGUCAUCUACGCAUACACCCACGCGCUCGGGUGCGAAGUGUCCACACAUGCGCCCGACUGGGAUGAGCUCGGCGUGCUUCUGCCGGGCCAAACGGCGCCAUGCCCCUGUUGUUGUGGACCUGUGGUGGUACAUCAGCGAAGAUGAUGAUGAGGUGGCGCCACCCGAUGCUCCAUCACGCCUUGCGCAGGGGUGCAAGCAAGGUGGCCUAGUUCAUCAUGUGUGGCGCAUGGAGUGGUCGGCUGGUUGCCGUUGGCUCUAUGAACAUGGCCCGACCGCUGCCAUCACUGUGAACCGCAUGUUGUUCCUCAGAUGCAACAAAAAUGACUUCUUGGGUUCACUGUACUUUCUAAACGGUUGUUACUUUUUUUGCUUCUGAAGUGUCAUAGGAUACCAAAAAUCUGGAUGAUAUAUUAGUCACGUACAGUCUUUGACAAGAAUUGAUCCAAAGGACGAAAACUUAUAAAUUCCUCAAGCACAUAAACUACAGGAAGUUGGAAGCAGAGAAAAUGGAUUGGGACAAGGAGCCAGACAGAGGAUGAGGAGGGGCUCAGCGGAACAAAUGGCCAAGGAGAAAAAAGUAGCUAUCGCCACAAGCAUCAAGAUAUGUGGGCUUCAUGUAACUCAUGCUUCCUACCAAUAUGUUUUUCAUAAUUUCCAUUGAACACCUCAAAUGAUCUGAGCUUGUCUGUUAUUUUUUGCUGAACAGUCCACUCCGCACCACAUGAGAAAUCUACAUAUUUUUUUUGUUAUAAUCAGAUUUAUUCUCUAGCCAAGAAUUAUGACUAAUUUCUCAGGCCUGAAGAACCAGUAUAUAAUCAUAGUUUCUUAAUUAGUUAGGGAUGUUUCGGCAAUUGUUUUUACCACCACUAGUCCACUAUUAAUCACAAUGUUCUGUUUGUUGUAGGCAUCAUUUACUAUCCUACAUAAUACAUCGGUAAGUUGAGGUGUGUCUGAGUAGCCUUCGCUAUCCAAAUAGUUUAUAAUCCUUUUAUGCAUCUUGUUGUGAGACUGUUAUUUUCUUAAUUUAUUAAUGCUUGAUGGUUCUUGCGGGCAUGGCUAUUACGGAAGAUAUGAUCAGACAUAUGAGUCAAGAUAGUGAGGGAGUAAUUGUUCUUGCAUAUGAAAGUGGAACCUUGUAGCAUGUGGGUUUGUAAAAAUAGUCAUUAUGAGAAUGCCUGCAAAUGUUCAUGAUUAACAUAUUUGCAUAUUUUGAUGAAAUGUGAUCCUUGAAACUAUUGUGCACGGCCUUUGUUUGUAGGAAUAUCUAGGGUGGACAAAUGACUGGCUUCAAAGCACCAUAACAACUUUCCUUGCAUAAAGAAACCACACCUCCUAAAAUAAUGGACAUCUGCAGCAGCAAAAUAACUGUUGAUCAUUAUUAUUUCCUCCAAAAUAGUUGCUCAUUAUUUAACUUCCUAACUUGAAAAAUACGACAGGACUUGAUGAAACUGAUCUUGCUUACAAAUUUGACUCAAAAGUUUUGUUCUGCAUUUUGUAGGACAAAUAAGACAGUGUUUAAUUAGGUGGACAUAAUAUACUUGGUGCUUUUUUUUGCGGGAUAAUAUACUUGGUGCUGAUCUUUCUAGAACGUUUAGCAAUUUAGUGUUAUUUUCACAGAUAAAAAGAGAACCAACUGGCUAGCCUAUACAAUUUUGGUGACACGACAAAUUAAAGUACUAAGGCGACAAGGUAUAUGCCCGAUAUACUGCAAUUUCUGCAAGUUUACCAGAAUAUGUGAAUUGGACAAUCAAUUAGAUCCAAGAGACCAAGACAAGAUGUCUACUUUCGAAACUACUGUUUGGAAUUCAAAUAUUUAAAGCAAUUAGGAAUUAAAAUUUCUGUUCAUUCAUUCAGAUGUCUACGGAUCAAUUUAUCAAACCACUAAUGAAAACGAGGGGGUGAUAAGGGACAUCGAACACAAAUAUUAAAGAAUCCCAUUGAGCUAUGGGAACUGCGGCAAUGAACGACGGGGAAGCCAUAGAUGCACAUCGACCUAUGGUUGUCCCUUCUUCCGCAAUGGCCAGCUACCUCGGCUCGGUGGUAACGCGGGCCCGCUCUGCGGGAGCAGGGAGGACUAGGCAGCAGUGACAGAGGGCCCUGCGCUCCUGACCCGUGAAGUUUAUCUCCAGUGUUGGUUGAUCUUUAGUUUAUUCCCAGCUGCAAAUUUUACUGAAAUGAACCACAAUACAGAUGGUUUAGGCCCUGUUUGGAUGACAGCCAGUGGCUGCCCUUCCAAAAUAUUGGUCGGCAGGCUGGCGUGUGUUUGGUUCACGGCCAAAAUUUCGGAUCUCAACCAAUUAUUUGGUUACCCGUGUUAUUCUGCAGCAGCGUGCGGGCGAGUUCCCGGCGGCACAUUCCCUUGUUUUGGCGAGGCUGGCUUGGGCACCAUCCAAACAGCCCCUUACUCCCUUAUUAUUUCCUUGGAGUGGCGUACAUUUACCUUUGCAAUUGGGAAGCAAGAUCUGAAAGUUCAGUUUCAGUUUUGUGGUACAAGCUUGAAACAUUGGCAUAUAGUAUUGUCUUAUAAAAGAUUAGAUGCUCCCGCUUUCAGAGAGCUGAUCAUACAUAUCUUGCUUGAUUUGAUGUUGCUCUGUGUUAUUAUGUACGUCUCGGCCGAAAUUAAUAGGAAGGAGAGGCACUCCAAGAGAUCGUAUGUAAGUACAAAUCCUAUAGCUAUUUUGUUUACCUUAGGAGCAGUACCAAUCUGGAAACAUGUUUCUAAUCGAGUAAAACUUGAAACAUGUAUGGAUGGAUAAAUUUUAGUAUUUGAUCCUUUUAUUGAAAAAUCAUAUAACUUACGAUCUUAUGGAGUUUAGAGAUGCUUAUCCUGUUCUUUAUGGCUUAAAUUCCAUCAAUAGUUCUGUAAUAUAGUUUUGCCCAGAUAGGAUGCAUUAUAUGAAAAUAAGAUGUAUGCAAAAACUUUGCAGUAAGUGCUUCUAUAUUGGAGGAAGCCAAAAUGAUAGAGAACUCAAACGCUUGGGGUAUAGAGAUCAGAUAAGAUUUGCUUCUUUGUUGUUGUUUUGCUUUGUUUACACUGGUCUCACCAAAUAUUAUGAGCUUUUUUUAGCUCGUAUUGGGUCCGUGUGUGAAGAGUGAAAGACUUUAGCUUGCUAAUUUAUUUUUACAUCUGCUCAUUAGGACCUCAUCAAAGAUGAUUAUGAUGCAUGAUUAACAUGAUUUAUAGAGAUCUGUUUGGAGCUUAGUAGGCCUGAACACGCUCACGUUCAUUAAGAUGAUUUUGGAACGUGCUUUCCUCUCGAUGACACCAUUUUUCCGCUAGCAAUGCACGCAGAGCCCUGAGCCCUGCAUGGUUGGUCGUGGCAUCCUUGGUGACAGCUCAUUAGGACCUCACCAAAGGUGACGACGAUGUGGCUUGCCAUGGCAUCGCCGGCGAAGGAGCGCACCGGUGCGGGACGUCGCAGUCACUAGAGAUGACGGCAGGGUUUAGAGGGUUUGCCGGCGACAGAGGUGCCGACUCGGGUAGGGGCCGAUGAGGUAGUGUGUGACAACACUUGCUGGUCGUGGAUGGUGGUGGGAAGUGGUUGGGCAGGUAUAGGUGGGUGGGUUGUUAGAGUGGACGAAGAAAAAGGUAGGCGGCGGGAGGAAGAGAAUAGUAGCUACAACAGGUUGUCGCCGGUGUAGGAGAGGCGCGGGGGGUUAACAGACUUGAGUGUGGGGUGCAUGAUGUCGCGGGCACUAUAAAUGAUUAUGGGAGAGGUGAGCGGGUUGUGGACGAAAAAAAGCAGCGAUGAGAGGAAGAAGAAGAACCGGUAGCAGAGGUGGGUCGUCAUUGGCGGAUAAGAGGUAGGGGAUUAAUGGAUUCGAGUGCAGGGUAUAUGAGGUCUCAGGUGACUCCGUGACGGAGAUGACGGCUGCAUUUAAAGGGAUGGCCGGUGCAUCAUGUUGUAGUAUUUUGUUUGCACAAUCCAUCCCGAGAAAACAUAUAAAUAAAAGAAAUUGGUUAAAUUAUGUUAGAAAUACCUAUUUGGGUGGAGAUAUAAGGAAGACUGCAUCUCAUGACAGUUGCUUUCCUUUGUCGAUAUUGUAGCAUAAGAAUACAAAUUAUUUACACUUGCCUGCAGCUCAUGAAUGGUUGGUUGUUAUUCCUUUGACCAUGAUAUUGUUAUUACUUAAAUGUUCUAAUAUAUUGUACAAAGCUUCCAUUUAUGUCUUCAGAAAAAUCACCGAUAAAAAAAAGAGCUCUCAAAUAUAUAUUUUAGCUCAUUAGAUCAGUUGUAGAAAUCAUGUGCCAUUUUUAUGUUCAUGUCAUCAUUUGAUUAUAUUUGCCAUAACUCGACUUGGCGCUCUUCAACAUACACUACAAGGUCUCUAAUUUCUCUGAAUACUCUUUACAAUUCUUAAUGCAAUCCUUUCAGCGGGAUAAAAAUAUAUUUACUCAAAUGAUGCCUAUCGUCGCUACACAAAAUAUCAUUACUUUUCACUCUUAAGGAGAUACUUUAACCAACUAUUCCUAGAAUUUUAAUAUGGGAUAUGCAUUCUUCUUUUGUUGAUAUCUUUUAUUAUGUUGAUACGUCUGAUUCGGUGGACUAGCAUAGCAAAUGUAAAUGUGAAUGUGAAGGUGGAUUCCAUCAAAUUGUCUAUGCAGGUUAGUGUUGUCCCUGAUGCUUUAUACAGACGUGUUCAAAUAUCUUUCAUUGGACAGACCUCUGACGUGAUCAUAUUGCUAUUUUCAUCUUUUGGAUUUGCAUAUAAUGUUGACACCACAUGUGAAUCUGAAGCCACUUGUGCUAAGCAUUCCCUGGUUUGCCAGCUUGUGUGUUUCACUAAUGGAGAAGGUAUGAAUCUGUUUCUUUAAUGUGCAGGUGUGCACACACCUUCCAUCACUAAUGGAGUUGAAUGUGACCGGGGUCGCGCUGCUAAAGCACUGCAUCUUCUGCGGUGCACGUGGGGACUAGAUGUAUCAAUAGUGAUGAAGCAAGGUUCUGGUGUCUUGGUCUGCAGGCGUGCGUGAGCUCUGGCAUGGAGAGCUUCAUAAGUGUCUUUGAGUGCACUGGAUGGGAGAGUUAUGUUACUCGCUCACCCAUGGAGUUCUCCAAAAUUGUCUGUUGCUUCCUACUCUCCGGGAUCAUCUUUAACUGAUUUAAUUUGUCCCAAGUUGUGGUAAUUCAGGAGAGAGACAACGUCGUCAUGUUGGUCGCUGAGCAAGCAGAUCAAAGCACAAACACGGGAGUUAUCCGACAACAACGACGACCACGACAUCGUUCCACUUAGACUUAGAGGCAAGAGCAAUGAUUCCACCGGCAGCAGAGAUCAACAAGUUCUUCUCCAUCGGAGAGUAAAUGCUUCACCGCCAACUAAGUGACAACUUAACUAAAAGAAGUACAAAUUGGACAUCAUGUGAGGCGUGACGCUCAAAUCCGGCAAGGAAGAUUGCGGCCGUGCACGUAGAAUGGAAAAGGUGCCCACACAAUGAAAACAAGUCUGGAAAAGGAGGUUAGCUGAUUAAUCACAGACAUAACGCAAGAGUUAUGGUACAGAGAAAGAACUUCUUCAUUCAGGAUUACACAUGUGUCAUGUGUCAUAGACCAGCAUUGGAGGCAAGGGAUCACUUGUACUUUGUAUGCCCUUUUGCAAAACUCUGUUGGCAAUAUGUUUGUCUUUCAUGGAACCCUCCCUACUGGGACAGAUAUUCAAGACGAAGUUGCCCAUCGCAAACAGUUGCUAAAUCUGCCUUUUGCCAUGGACAUUA